CCUACGGGUGGCAGCAGUGGGGGAUAUUGCACAAUGGGGGAAACCCUGAUGCAGCGACGCCGCGUGUGGGAAGACGGUCCUCUGGAUUGUAAACUACUGUUCCCAGGGACGAAGCUGACGGUACCUGGGGUUGAAGCUCCGGCAAACUACGUGCCAGCAGCCUCGGUACUACGUAGGGAGCGCGCGUUGUCCGGAAUUACUGGGUGUAACGGGAGCGUAGGCGGGACUGCAAGUUGGGUGGCAAAUCUACCGGCUCAACCGGUAGCCGCACUCAAAACUGCAGUUCUUGAGUGAGGUGGAGGCAGGCGGAAUUCCUGGUGUAGCGGUGAAAUGCGUAGAUAUUAGGAGGAACACCAGUGGCGAAGGCAGCCUGCUGGGCUGUGACUGACGCUGAGGCUCGAAAGUGUGGGGAGCGAACAGGAUUAGAUACCCGAGUAGUC
rnacentral:rRNA from 1 species